GUGGCCUAGUGGUAAGAUUGUCGGCCUCAGAUGCAGAAGGUCGCUGGUUCAUACCCCAGCUGAGUCA